UUCGGAGAUACGCGAAGAACUUUACCUAGCCUUGACAUUGAUUGAACUCAGUAGAGAUACAGAGGUGCCCUUCGGGGAGCAUGAAAACAGGUGCUGCACGGCUGUCGUCAGCUCGUGUCGUGAGAUGUUGGGUUAAGUCCCGCAACGAGCGCAACCCUCGUCUUUAGUUGCCAGCAGGUUAAGCUGGGCACUCUAAAGAGACUGCCUUCGCAAGGAGGAGGAAGGUGAGGACGACGUCAAGUCAUCAUGGCCCUUACGGCUAGGGCUACACACGUGCUACAAUGGGGCGUACAGAGAGUUGCGAUACCGCGAGGUGGAGCUAAUCUCUUAAAGCGUCUCUCAGUUCGGAUUGGAGUCUGCAACUCGACUCCAUGAAGCUGGAAUCACUAGUAAUCGUAGAUCAGCAAUGCUACGGUGAAUACGUUCCCGGGUCUUGUACUCACCGCCCGUCACACCAUGGGAGUUGAUUUCACCCGAAAUUGGGAAGCUAACCUUCGGGAGGCUACCA
rnacentral:rRNA from 1 species